GUGCUUGCUUUGGCAGCACAUAUACUAAAAUUGGAACGAUACAGAUUAGCAUGGCUACUGGGCAAUGAUGACAUGCAAAUUCAUGAGGCACUCCAUAUUUUU